GAUGAACGCUCGCUCCAGGCUUAACACAUGCAAGUCGAGGGGCAGCAUGAACUUAGCUUGCUAAGUUUGAUGGCGACCGGCGCACGGGUGAGUAACACGUAUCCAACCUGCCGAUGACUCGGGGAUAGCCUUUCGAAAGAAAGAUUAAUACCCGAUGGCAUAGUUCUUCCGCAUGGUAGAACUAUUAAAGAAUUUCGGUCAUCGAUGGGGAUGCGUUCCAUUAGGUUGUUGGCGGGGUAACGGCCCACCAAGCCUUCGAUGGAUAGGGGUUCUGAGAGGAAGGUCCCCCACAUUGGAACUGAGACACGGUCCAAACUCCUACGGGAGGCAGCAGUGAGGAAUAUUGGUCAAUGGACGAGAGUCUGAACCAGCCAAGUAGCGUGAAGGAGGACUGCCCUAUGGGUUGUAAACUUCUUUUAUACGGGAAUAAAGUGAGGCACGUGUGCCUUUUUGUAUGUACCGUAUGAAUAAGGAUCGGCUAACUCCGUG
rnacentral:rRNA from 1 species